GUGCAGCUCAACUUCUGAUCACUGGUCUCAAAUACUGCACCAAUUGCAGCCACAGGAAGAGGCCGCAGGUCAGGAGAAGGGAAGCCCACGUGUGCGCAGCCCACCGUGAGCCAGGCCCGCUGCUGGCGCCCUGACCCACGAUGCCCUUGGAUCCACACCAGGAACCAGGUUCCAUAAAGGCUUCUUGUGCGGACCCCCAACACCCUGGAUGCUGCAUCUGCCCCUCCCCCAGGUACUUAAGACAAGAGUUUGGCCCCUGUCACAGCUGAGUAGAUCUUCUGGGUCCGAGAAUCUCACUGGGGGAGAAUCAGAGUUUAGGAGCUCAGAGACCACUCGGCCGGCCGUCGCAGCUGGAAAGAGCAGCGUUGGCAAGUCGGUCCUGAGAUCCUGCUACAGGACGAAUACUCCCGUAGGUGCUGGGACGAGGUCAUGGAGAAAGCUGAUCACAUCCUUGACACAGUUACAUGGUUCCACUUCAGUGGCAGGAAGAGACCACUGGGAGGGCUACCCAGUAACAGUGCUAUGAGCUUCACAGACCUGGAACCACUCAUC